GAUGAACGCUAGCGACAGGCUUAACACAUGCAAGUCGAGGGGCAGCACAGGGUAGCAAUACUUGGGUGGCGACCGGCGCACGGGUGAGUAACGCGUAUGCAACUUACCUAUCAGAGGGGGAUAGCCCGGCGAAAGUCGGAUUAAUACCCCAUGAAACAGGGGUCCCGCAUGGGGAUAUUUGCUAAAGAUUCAUCGCUGAUAGAUAGGCAUGCGUUCCAUUAGGCAGUUGGCGGGGUAACGGCCCACCAAACCGACGAUGGAUAGGGGUUCUGAGAGGAAGGUCCCCCACAUUGGUACUGAGACACGGACCAAACUCCUACGGGAGGCAGCAGUGAGGAAUAUUGGUCAAUGGGCGUAAGCCUGAACCAGCCAAGUCGCGUGAGGGAUGAAGGUUCUAUGGAUCGUAAACCUCUCUUAUAAGGGGAAUAAAGUGUGGGACGUGUCCCGUUUUGUAUGUACCUUAUGAAUAAGGAUCGGCUAACUCCGUG
rnacentral:rRNA from 1 species